ACAGGGCCCAGCAGCCGCCAGCCUGAGCCCAGCUCUGCCCCACCGCCCUCCCCACAGCAGGGAAGGGUGGAGGGGAGCUGCCAACUCUGCUGUUGGGCAAUGCAAUUCCCUGGUUCUCUCUGUACUCGUCGGGGCACGGAUUAUUUCCGCCUGCAGCUUUAAUGACAAAACGGUGUCCAGAGACAGCAGCAGCAAACCCAGUCUAGCGUCAUCACCUUGCAGCCCAUGAGAUCCCAAAAUGGCAAAUGAAAAUGACAGCAGAGGAGCUUUUAGAUCAGCAAUGCUCAGAUGAUGCUGAGAGGCCUCUUCUAUGGUAAUCCCACUGCUACAUUUUCCAGUCUCACCUUGGAAACCUUCUACCAAUCUUCCCCAGGAGUCCUGUACCAAUCAGCUGAUAUCCAACCAGCAGAAAAAGUUUCCUGAAUCGAGGCUGUUUGCUAGAGAGCAUGACUGUGUCUGCCAGGAGGAAACCUCCGGUUUAUCCAGGAGAAGUGAUCCCCAGGACUGCAGUGUGCCCUGUGUGGGCACAGACACGAGAAGUUUCCUCUGACUCCAGUCAAGCUGAAGAAAGCUGUGGGGUGGUGGGCAUGUCACUUGCAUUGUCCCACCCAGAGCACUCACCUCCCAUCCAGGCUAUCCAGGUAGGAAAGUCCUUCCCCACCUUCUUCACCCCACAAGCAGUGCAGUCCAAAACGGUGUUUCUGGGAGCUACAGUUGUUGCUCAGUAACGCUGAAAGCUGAGAAAUAUUGUGCCAAAAUUUUCAUGCACAAAGGAAAAGGCCUAAUUUUGAAAGAAUUUAUAAUAGCAUGGAAUAAUUGGUCCCUACACACAGGAAAGAUGGGAGUUAUUGGUUCAGGGCUGCAGAGUGGGGGAAUGGGAGAUGACUGCUACUGUCUUGAUGCUGUGUUUUGUUUUUUUUACUAGUGAUUUGGCAGAGCAAACCAAAAAAAGGCAAGGCAAGGCUGUAACUGUUUUCUCUCAUCACCCUAAUAAUCCUUUGUGCUCUGAGGAAAUUGCCAUUUCAAUACUCCUAUCUGAGAUGUCUUGGUGAAGUGCCUGAAGUUGCAAAGGAGGGAGAGAGAACAUCAAUCUGCAUCUGCUCUCUCCUGCAGAGAGUUGUCAUCAGUCAUCUCGUCUGGACUAGCAGGGAUCAUCUGCAGCUGGAGAUAAGCUGUCUCUUUCUGAGAGGUGGGACAGAGUUUGUCAUCAGCCAGUGCAGUGGACACAGAAAGACAGCCUGGGAACGAAGCAGGCAAACAGCCAGAAGGCAUUUAGGUCACCGAGAGCUCAAAAAGCUGGUUUGAAGUGUUCAUGUGAGCAGGGAAUUGAUACAUGGACUUGGCCAUGACAGAGAGUGAGAAAACAUGGAAGUAAAACUUUUCAUUGUCUCACUGAGCAAAAAGGACAAGAAGUGACCUGAGAGAGUCGCUUAUUAUUUUCAAAAUAAUACUUGGAACAAUUGAACCAUCAAGAAAGUUAUUUGUAGACUUGACCUGGACAGAAUAAGAUUGUAGAGGGACUCAGUAAUUGUGCUCAAAACCAAAAAUAAAAAAAUGAGGCAAUUGAGCCUUAUGUUUCAGAUGUAAGAUCUCUGACACUAAGCAUAUCUUUGGAGACAUUAUGGAGCCCUUAAUUAAAAACAAGAGCUGCUAGUGGGAUUCCAGAGUGCAAGUGAAAUUAUUGAGAGAAAUGGAUCCAGCCCUUGAGAGAUCAGCCAGCAUCACAAAGAGGUCACUGCUGAGCGCUCAGACAAGUAUAACACAUGUUGCUGGGCCUCCAAAGCUCUCAGGUGAGGAGAGGGUAGGGCCCAGCAAUGUCUCUAGAAUACAGCAAGCUGGGUAUGCUGCACAGAAUACCACGCAGAAGGGCUGCUUGCAAAACCUUUACAGCCCAGAAGGGAGGCUCUGGCAAUUGCUACAACCUACUGCCCACAGUGGGGACUGUGGGAUGUGCCUGUGCUGACUCCCAGCAUUUCUCCUAAGCAGCCACCCAGUAGUUCCAGCAAAGGUCUGACAUUCCUUACACAGCAUACGCUGAACAUGUGGGAGACAGGCUUGCCUGAGCAGAGCCAUGGAGCAUUAUCCUCUGGCCAAGCAUGACUGCCCACAGCAAACACUGUCAGACAGGGAAAACAGUGAACUGCCAGGGAAAUAGCCCAGCCAAAUCCCUGGGGAGAAAGAAAUCAAACAGUAUGGACAAGUCUGUUUGCUCUCAAUAACAGGAACUUGUACAGCCACCCCAGCUCAUUGCCCCAGCUCCAGAGACCAGCAUCCUCAAAGCAGCUUUCUAGGCUUUUGGGAGCCCUAACUGAAAAGGGGUGAGGUUACAGGCUUUGAUGUGGAACAAAACAGUGGUGAAAAGUGAUUUGAGUCUGAAUAAUGGAAGAACAGUCUGCCUAAGAGAAAUUCCUGGGAGAGAAGUUAAAAAAAGCAGGAGACAGAGCUGGAUGUAAGACAGAAGACAUUACAGCCAUGUUGGACAUGACAUGCUGCAUAAAAUAGUGUGUGAGAACAGGUCAGAAGCUUGGUGUGAGUUUCAGGGCUACAUCUAUAAUUGCCAGUUGUGCACAAAGUCCCAUGACACAGAGGAAAGCGGGAUCAUAAGGAUAUCUGUCUGACCCUUCUGUGCCCUCUCCACUUGCAGUUCAAAUGCAGAAAGAAUGUGACAAUCCUGGGCCCAGAGGGUCAGGGCAGCCUCUUACCAGCCUCUGCACCAGCUUCACAUGGAUCCUCAAUGUCAAAAUCACUGCAGUUGUCAUUUCUAAAGCAUUAUAGACACAUACAGGGCACAGGAAGCCUGAGAGAUUAGAGACUGAAGUUGGAGAAACCCCUGGAGAUGUUUGUUGUGUGUGGUGUCAUUUAUUGUUAUAACCCAUGGCAUCAGCCAGAUGUUACAAACCCUGCGGUGUGAAAGAGCCCCAGCACCUGGUGCCACCCUCAAGUCCAAGAGGAGGUUACAAAGGCAUUCAGCUUGUAAGAUCUUGAACAGACAGGAGACUGAUAGUCAAGACCUCCUAUCUGAGACUGUACAGCACCUCCCAGACCAGAUCACCACAGCCUCAAGAAAUCAUCUAUUUCCCUCAGGAAGGAGCAGCCAGCUGCAGUCACAGCAGAAGGGAACAGCACCAGAUGUUACUGGCAGAGCAAAGCCAAAACUGAAAGGUCUCCUAACAUGAAACAGCAGAGCUGCAGAUGUGUCAGGAGAGAAUGGGACAUCAGAACAGUGUAGGGUGACCCAGGGUGACUCUCCUGACUUAGGGGGAGGUGAAAAAUUAAAUAGGUAUGUUCAAUCAUUGCUUGUUUCAUGUAAAUGUAUGCUGUUAGUGUGUGUUGUUUGUGCAAUGUAGGUAUAAAGAAAAGUAGGAUGCUCUGGCACAACACAACUGGACUUAUCGCUGUUACACAUCUUACCUACUGACACUGCUGAAAUCUGGUCCCUGCUGGGCACUCUGCCUGAUGGCUGAGAAGUAUGUCUACAGUAUCAUCCACAGCUGUAAUGCCUCUGAAAAGAGCUGUUUUCCAAUAAGGAGCUUUCUUCAUUUUUACAAGCAACGAAGGGCUUUUUAGCUUUUGCUCAGCAUGUGUUACCUGACAUGCCAGGAGAGUCAGGCAGUGAGGAACUGCUCUGUGUACUGAGCUGAACUUGCUUUCUCAUUUUUCCAAGUCUUGGCAGACAGAAAUCCCCGAGGAAGAUUUCAAUCCAUUUGCAAGCACUGCUGUGAGAAGAAAAGAUACUACAAGUUUUCAAAAUGACCUCCAGCACAUCUAGAGUUAAAAGCUUCUUACAGGAUUUAAUGUCCCUUGGCUGCACUUUUGAAUGGAUCAUUUGGGGGUUUAUGGUUUUCACUUCUCCUUGAAGAGCUCACCUUCCUG